GCCUGGCUGGCUCAGUCAGCGGAGUGAGAGACUCUGAAUCUCCGGGUCAUGAGUUCGAGCCCCACGAUGGGCA
rnacentral:tRNA from 1 species